UACAGAGGUCCCAAGCGUUGUUCGGAUUCAUUGGGCGUAAAGGGUGCGUAGGUGGCGCGCUAAGUCAGGUGUGAAAUUUCGGAGCUUAACUCCGAAACUGCAUUUGAUACUGGCGUGCUUGAGGACUGGAGAGGAGACUGGAAUUUACGGUGUAGCGGUGGAAUGCGCAGAUAUCAGGAAGAACACCCGUGGCGAAGGCGGCUCUCUGGAACGCAACUGACGCUGAGACGCGAAAGCGUGGGGAGCAAACAGG
rnacentral:rRNA from 1 species